rnacentral:rRNA from 1 species
CUGGUUGAUCCUGCCAGUGACUUAUGCUGAUCUCAAGGACUAAGCCAUGCAUAUGCAAGUACAGCACUUUGUACGUGUGAAACUGUGAACGGCUCAUUAUAACAGUUAUAAUCUACUUGACGGAAACUACAUGGAUAACCGUGGUAACACUAGGGCUAAUACAUGCAAGAGAAGCCUUGGCAGGUGACUGCUGGGGGGGAGCAUUUAUUGGAUACCUUUACUGGUGAGACAAGAUAAUUGGCGGAUCGCGCUUCGGAGCGACGGGUCAAUCGGAUUUCUGCCCUAUCAACUGUCGAUGGUAGGAUCGGGGCCUACCAUGGUGAUAACGGGUAACGGGGAAUUGGGGUUCGAUUCCGGAGAGGGAGCCUGAUAAACGGCUACCACUUCUACGGAAGGCAGCAGGCGCGCAAACUACCCAAUCCUGAUUGAGGGAGGUGGUGACGAAAAACUACGAUGCGG